rnacentral:rRNA from 1 species
AUUGAACGCUGGCGGCAUGCCUUACACAUGCAAGUCGAACGGCAGCACGGGUGCUUGCACCUGGUGGCGAGUGGCGCACGGGUGAGUAAUACAUCGGAACAUGCCCUGUAGUGGGGGAUAGCCCGGCGAAAGCCGGAUUAAUACCGCAUACGAUCUACGUAUGAAAGCGGGGGCCCUUCGGGCCUCGCGCUAUAGGGUCGGCCGAUGGCUGAUUAGCUAGUUGGUGGGGUAAAGGCCUACCAAGGCCACGAUCAGUAGCUGGUCUGAGAGGACGACCAGCCACACUGGGACUGAGACACGGCCCAGACUCCUACGGGAGGCAGCAGUGGGGAAUUUUGGACAAUGGGCGAAAGCCUGAUCCAGCAAAGCCGCGUGUGUGAAGAAGGCCUUCGGGUUGUAAAGCACUUUUGUCCGGAAAGAAAUCCUUGGCCCUAAUACGGUCGGGGGAUGAUGGUACCGGAAGAAUAAGCACCGGCUAACUACGUG